UACGAAGGGGGCUAGCGUUGCUCGGAAUCACUGGGCGUAAAGCGCACGUAGGCGGGUUUUUAAGUCGGGGGUGAAAUCCUGGAGCUCAACUCCAGAACUGCCUUCGAUACUGAGGAUCUCGAGUCCGGGAGAGGUGAGUGGAACUCCGAGUGUAGAGGUGAAAUUCGUAGAUAUUCGGAAGAACACCAGUGGCGAAGGCGGCUCACUGGCCCGGUACUGACGCUGAGGUGCGAAAGCGUGGGGAGCAAACAGG
rnacentral:rRNA from 1 species